rnacentral:rRNA from 1 species
UUAAGUCCGCAACGAGCGCAACCCGUUAUCUUUAAUUGCCAGCAUUCAGUUGGCACUUUAAAGAGACUGCCGGUGUUAAACCGGAGGAAGGUGGGGAUGACGUCAAGUCCUCAUGGCCUUUAUGCUUAGGGCUACACACGUGCUACAAUGGGUGGUACAAAGGGUCGCGAACCCGCAGGGGAGCCAAUCCCAAAAAGCCGCUCUCAGUUCGGAUUGCAGGCUGCAACUCGCCUGCAUGAAGCCGGAAUCGCUAGUAAUCGCGGAUCAGCAUGCCGCGGUGAAUACGUUCCCGGGCCUU